rnacentral:lncRNA from 1 species
GCAUUGGCCUCAGAACUCCUCUGGUGCUGGGAGUGAGGAGUUUCAAGGUGACUGCUUUUUAGCUCCAGGGGAGAAAGGAGGGCACAGUGCCCAAGGCCAUGCCAGGGCAAGGACGGGCCACUGGCCCCCGCCGGCCGAGUCAACCAGAGGCAAAGCCAGAUUGAGGGUUCCCAGGCUGACAAAUGUCUGCUGCCUCUGCCACAGAAGAGAGAAGGGGAAAGAGGGCAAAAGAAACAAAGACAUCACGCGUUGCAAGUGGCUGGACUUUUAAAAACCUACCUUUGCCUCCAGGGUUUUCUAGGUUACUGUCACCCCACUUCCUAAAAAGUGUCUCCCCCCUCAUCCUAUUUAAGACCUGAUGCAGUCUCCCCACUGGUUCUCCCAGGGAAAGAAAAGGGGAAAUGUUUUGUUGAAAAUAAAAGGGGUGACAAGAAAGAAAGGAAAAAAAGCUAUUGUUUUCAUCCCUAAUUUAUAAUCCAAGAGGCCCCCAAUUGUUUCUUUCUUUCUGACUCAAAUCUUUGAGCUGUUAAUUAUAAAAGUAACUGGACUUGGCGCCAACGGGCU